AAGUCGUAACAAGGUUUCCGUAGGUGAACCUGCGGAAGGAUCAUUACAGAGUUCAUGCCCUUCGGGGUAGAUCUCCCACCCUUGUGUAUCAUUAUAGAAUGUUGCUUUGGCGGGCCGCGCCUAGUGUGCCUGGAUUCGCGUCCAGCGUGCCCGCCAGAGGACCCCUAAACUCUGAAUGUUAGUGUCGUCUGAGUACUAUUAAAUAGUUAAAACUUUCAACAACGGAUCUCUUGGUUCUG
rnacentral:misc_RNA from 1 species